ensembl:lncRNA
CUUCUAGCUCCUUUGCUGACAGCCAAGAGAAGAGGAUCUUUCCUCUCUAGAGAACAUCUAUGUGAGGUGUGAACAAGAGCACAUUGUCAAACCAGGGGAGGUCAGCAGGUCACAGCACAUUUUAUUCAUGCCACGAUAGAGACAAGUGUGGAAACAACUCUUCAAUACAGUUUCCUUAGGAGAAAGAACUCAUGAGUGAGCACGUACGCCAGCAAAGGUUUGAUUUGGGGAAGUUUAACAAUAAUCCUCAUAAACCCACAAGUGAAGGUCAAUGCUGAUUAAUUAACAGACAAGGCAUUCCCUUUCCAUACCGAGCUUCUCAGGGAGACCCUGGGAAGGGUUUCCUGCCUGGAAUUUCACAAAGAAAGAGAAAUUUCUUCAUAAAGGAAACAGGAACUGACUGCUCUUGAGAGCAGAAGAAAAACUCAACUGCCCUCAUCCAGUAAGAGACUGUCAAAUGGCGGCCAGGAGACCCAUGGCAGCAGUCAGAGCUGGAAGGCAGGGCUCAUAAUUUUUGGCUCUCCAGUUUGGAUGAUGACAUGUUACUGGGUAGCAAUACAUCUGAAGAAAUUAAAAAUAACAAUAACCAUGACAAGGCAGGAUGAUACAGACAUUUCAAAAGCAAUUGAUUCCUCUGUAAUAAAAACAUAGUCAAAUAUAGUACCAGAAAACAGAAAUAUCCACUGUGAGGUUUCCAGUUUAAGGAGAUAACCAUUUCUUAUUUAUUAAUUUUUUUGUAGAAUUCUUAACCUUGUAAUAGCCUUCCUG